rnacentral:rRNA from 1 species
UUAAAAAGCUCGUAGUCGGAUUUCAGUUUAAUUUGUUUGGCUUAUAUGUCAACACAAGUUUUACUUCAUUGAUACGAAUCUACAUCUGAUUUAUUUCCGGUGUUGCCUAGUAUCUCUUUUACUUUGAGAAAAUUAGAGUGUUCAAAGCAGGUUUUCGCCUGAAUAUUACUCUUGGAAUAAUGAUAUAGGACUUUGGUUCUAAUUUGUUGGUGUAUUAGGACCGGAGUAAUGAUUGGUAGGGACGGUUGGGGUCAUCCAUACUGCAAAGCGAGAGGUGAAAUUCUUGGACCUUUGUAUGAUGAACAACUGCGAAAGCAUUUGACUAGGACGUUCCCGUUGAUCAAGAACGAAAGUUGGGGG